CCCUAGUAACGGCGAGUGAAGCGGCAUCAGCUCAAAUUUGAAAUCUGGCUCUUUCAGAGUCCGAGUUGUAAUUUGCAGAGGGCGCUUUGGUGUCGGCAGCGGUCCAAGUUCCUUGGAACAGGACGUCACAGAGGGUGAGAAUCCCGUACGUGGUCGCUGACCUACACCGUGUAAAGCCCCUUCGACGAGUCGAGUUGUUUGGGAAUGCAGCUCUAAAUGGGAGGUAAAUUUCUUCUAAAGCUAAAUACUGGCCAGAGACCGAUAGCGCACAAGUAGAGUGAUCGAAAGAUGAAAAGCACUUUGGAAAGAGAGUCAAACAGCACGUGAAAUUGUUGAAAGGGAAGCGCUUGCAGCCAGACUUGCUUGUAGUUGCUCAUCCGGGCUUUUGCCCGGUGCACUCUUCUGCGAGCAGGCCAGCAUCAGUUUGGACGGUUGGAUAAAGGCCUCUGUCACGUACCUUCUCUCGGGAAGGCCUUAUAGGGGAGGCGUCAUGCAACCAGUCUGGACUGAGGUCCGCGCAUCUGCUAGGAUGCUGGCGUAAUGGCUGUAAGCGGCCCGUCUUGAAACACGGACCAAGGAGUCUAACAUCUAUGCGAGUGUUUGGGUGUCAAGCCCGAGCGCGUAAUGAAAGUGAACGGAGGUGGGAUCCCGCAAGGGUGCACCAUCGACCGAUCCUGAUGUCUUCGGAUGGAUUUGAGUAAGAGCAUGGCUGUUGGGACCCGAAAGAUGGUGAACUAUGCUUGAAUAGGGUGAAGCCAGAGGAAACUCUGGUGGAGGCUCGCAGCGGUUCUGACGUGCAAAUCGAUCGUCAAAUUUGGGCAUAGGGGCGAAAG
rnacentral:rRNA from 1 species